GUGCUGGCUUCGGCAGCACAUAUACUAAAAUUGGAACAAUACAGAGAAGGUUAGCAUAGCCCCUGCGCAAAGGAUGACACACAAGUUUGUGAAGCGUCCCAUAUUAAA
ensembl:snRNA U6 U6 spliceosomal RNA